rnacentral:rRNA from 1 species
ACUGAAACAUCUAAGUACCCCGAGGAAAAGAAAUCAACCGAGAUUCUGUGAGUAGCGGCGAGCGAAAGUGGAAGAGCCAGUUAGUUUUAGCAUUUGUAUUAAGAGAAUGAGUUGGGAAACUCAAUCAAAGAGGGUGAUAAUCCCGUAUCUGAAAAUGCAAUUGUGGAACUAAGCUAACGAUAAGUAGGGCGGGACACGUGAUAUCCUGUUUGAAGAUGGGGGGACCAUCCUCCAAGGCUAAAUACUCCUGAUUGACCGAUAGUGAACAAGUACUGUGAAGGAAAGGUAAAAAGAACCCCUGCGAGGGGAGUGAAAUAGAACCUGAAACCGUGUACGUACAAGCAGUAGGAGCAACUUCGUGUUGUGACUGCGUACCUUUUGUAUAAUGGGUCAGCGACUUAUAUUUUGUAGCAAGGUUAACCGAAUAGGGGAGCCGUAGGGAAACCGAGUCUUAACUGGGCGUUUAGUUGCAAGGUAUAGACCCGAAACCCGGUGAUCUAGCCAUGGGCAGGUUGAAGGUUGGGUAACACUAACUGGAGGACCGAACCGACUAAUGUUGAAAAAUUAGCGGAUGACUUGUGGCUGGGGGUG